CAACCAUCAAGCCCCCGGGCUUGUGUUGGGGACCUGCGUCUGACCGCAGGCCCUGAAAACCAGUGGCGGGCUCGCUGUCCACACCGAGCGUAGUAACUAAACCUCGCUCCGGGAGUGCCGCGGGCGCCUGCCGUUAAACCCCCCACCACACCAAA
rnacentral:misc_RNA from 1 species